CCAACGGCUCUUUUAAGAGCCACCUACAAACACUGCCAGAGCAACU
rnacentral:ncRNA from 1 species